rnacentral:rRNA from 1 species
AUUGAACGCUGGCGGCAUGCCUUACACAUGCAAGUCGAACGGUAACAGGUCUUCGGCUGCUGACGAGUGGCGAACGGGUGAGUAAUACAGCGGAACGUGCCCGAUCGUGGGGGAUAACGGAGCGAAAGCUUUGCUAAUACCGCAUACGAUCUAAGGAUGAAAGCAGGGGACAGCAAGGCCUUGCGCGGACGGAGCGGCCGAUGGCAGAGUAGGUAGUUGGUGGGAUAAAGGCUUACCAAGCCGACGAUCUGUAGCUGGUCUGAGAGGACGAGCAGCCACACUGGAACUUAGACGCGGUCCCGACUCCUACGGGACGCAGCAGUGGGGAAUAGUGCACAGUGGGCGCGAGCCUGAUACAGCCAUGCCGCGUGUAUGAAGAAGGCAUUCGGGUUGUAAGGUCGUUUACGCGGUGAGGAAGGGAGUGAAGUUAAUACCUUUGCUCAUUGACGUUACCCGCAGAAGAAGCACCGGCUAACUCCGUG